UUUUACAAUAUUUUUUUAUUUUUAAAUUAUUUUUUUUUUUUAUUUUCAUGUUAUUUUUUAUUUCUGUCUAUUAUUCUUAUUUUUAUUUUCUUAAAUUUUUUAUAUUUUUCUUUUAUUUAAUUUUUAUAUUUCUUAUUAACUUUUUUUAAUUAUUUAUAUAAUAUACCUAUAUAUUUUUUUAUUUUUAAGUUUUUUAAUUAAUUUUUUGUAAUGUUUUAAUUAUGUUUAUUUUAUUUUAUCAAAAUCAUUACCACAACUCAGACCAACAUCCAUUAUUUUUUUAUUUUUUCAAAAGAUUUCUCAAAAAUUCUAAUUUACACUUUGUAAAUAUUAGAAACAGCGUCAGCAAGAAACAAAAAAUCACUUUAAUCAAACAAAGUGUUUUGUAUAGUUUAUAAGCAUAACUUGUACAAAGGAAAAAUUCACAUGCUCGUGCUAGAAUUAAUUUUACAUUAUAAAUAUAUAAAUGAAUGAUGAGAAAAUAUACAUAAUUAGUUACAAAAGCAGAAAACAAAAAAAUUGCGGUAGUUAAGUGUGAAUUAAAAUAAAAUUAGAAAAAACAAAAACUCAAUUCAAAUAACGAGUAUUGCAUAAACAAAAAAAACCGAAACGAAAUCAGAUUAAUUCACAUGCAACACAAGAUUACAGGUCAAUACUAAUUAGUGAAAGAUUUUCAUAGCAUUACUAAAUAGCAUAAUAAAUAAAUGAGGUGAAAUGAAAUAAAAUGUCUAGAUAUACCAUAUACGAUUUAGAAAAAAACAUAGCGGUAAUAGAAAUAAUUUGCAAACAAAACGUGCCGUCAGCUUAUCAUGAUGAAUGCUGUCGUAUGUAUGUAUGUAAUGCCAGCAGGCACGCUACUGUUUUGGUGUACCACAAAUACACCCACACACACACAUAAACACAGUUACACCCGGCCUAACAAGUGAAAUAGUAAUGCGCCAUACCGACUGUAAAACUCUCUACCCACAUAGGUGAAUAGAUGAAAUUUCUAAAUAAUGAAACCAGGGUUUCCAUAGGCAAGCUAUUGCGCGUAGAUAUAGACAUUCUGUUUUGUAUAACUUUCCACAUUUGAGUCUACUUUUUCAUAGUUAUUGCUUUUAAACAUUUAUAAGAAUUAAGCCUUACUUCGAAAUGCUGAUAUUAUUUGAAAUCAAAAAAUUUGUGGAGAAACGCCGUUUUAAAAUUAGAACUGAGUAACCUUUAGCAAGCUUAUGUUUAUCGAAAAGGCUUUUGAAAACGAGAGAUUACUUUUGGCAUAUUGUGGAACCUUUCUAUAAGCACUUGACUUAUGCACUUGAGAAGUCAUUGACGUUAGCCAGCUGUUCAAUAAAUUUUAACUCCGAACGGUUACGUUUCAAUGAAAUACUGGAGUAUGCUGCUUAGAUUUCUCCAGGAGUGUUUUCAAAAUUAGUUCAGAUAACCCAAUUAGCUUUUACUAACCUCAUUUUUCAUACUUGUUGUCAUAAUUAAGGACUUCAGGCCGAUCAGCCUCUCCACUUUCUUACUAAAAGCUCUGGAGAGACCGAUGGUCUAACUAUUAAGAGCUCAACAUGCUUAUCGUAACGGCAAGUCAGUGGUUAGUGCGCUGCAUACUGUCGUCUCAUGUCUUGAGGAAGCUAUUAGGGUGAAGGAUUUUGCUGUUGGGCCCUUACUUAAUAUUAAGGGAGCUUUCAACAAUGUUCUGCCGAAGGCAAUCAUUACUCUUGACGGUUUUGGGGUUGAAUCAAACCUCAAACACUUCAUUCUCAGGCUUCUGUGCGACAGAGUGAUUUAAACGGAAUGGGGCCAUGCGAGUGUGCGAUGAAAUGGAUACCGGAUCAUCUACAUCAUGGUGUUGCCAAAACGAACUCUGCUGGAAGCAGUUGGAGGAAAGGGGCAGUGAACUUUUUCCAACCACCAACUCCACUUUCAGACUUUCUGACUUUUGCAGUGCCUACCAAGCUGAGUGCGGCUUCCUUUAGAGAAGUGAUCAUUCACUCAGAUGGCAGAGCGGCGAUACUAGUCUUAAACUCAUUUUUAAUGCGUUCAGGGUUUGUCGAGAAGUGCCUAACCCUGCUAUCAAUAGCUUGGAGUGUCUUUGUAAUAAGAUUGAUAUGGGUGCCGGGCCAUACCGGAAUCUCAGGAAAUUGUAAAGCUGAUGAGCUAGCAAGGAAAGGUACAUCCUAGAACCACUAUCGGUAGAUUGGGAGCGAGUCGGUGCUCCCGUAUCCUCUUGCGUUCUACUACUGGAAAGCUGGCCUUCGCGGAAGCUUGGCCAGCGUCAUUCGCAGCAGCUGUUUGGAAGAAGAUGAGGCAGAAACAACUCAACACUUCCUUCGUGAUUGUCUGACAUCCCACUGAACUGGCGGGAGUUGAAAUUAAGCGUAUUUGCAACUUGUACGGGUAUUGGCUACUAAGUGUGAACUAACACAGGAGUUCUUAUUUCCUAUGGCUUCACAAAGGACUACAUAUACGAGUCCAGGUGCGAUCAUCGAUCAGCCAUCUAACCUAACCUACCAGAAUUAAGGUUUUUGCUUUUAUAUGAAAUUUUCAUAAAGAUUUUUGGCUUAUUUCAGAUAAUAACGAAUUUUUUCCUAUUCGUGCAUUGUUCAGAUUACUAUAUAGUAAGGAAGAUUUGUUAAUUUACUCAAUUAAAGGUUCACUAAACAACCGGUGAUCGCUAUGCUUAGAGUAGUUUCUUCUUCUAUUAGAGACUAAAACGUACGUAGCCUAAAAUAUACUCCGUAUAAUUGCAGGUAUCGGUAAUGUGGCGAGUUUUUAACAAUAAUCAAUGCAAUAUUGAAGUUAUUCUUAACAGUCAGACAAAAUUGGAACUUUUAGAACUGUGAAGGUGAAAGGUUCUUGAUAUACUGAACACUCAUACUUGAAAAUUGGGUUUCUGGCUUAUCGCGAAGGUUUUAUAAAUAAGUGCAGUUGAUUAAGCCAUAUAUUUCUAAUUUUCUUUUCUCCAUUUGUUUUAGAAGAGAGAAAGCUUUAAUUUAUAUAUUUAUUUAUAUCUCCCUUCGUUAGUCACUCUGUGUAGAUCCUAACUUUAUUAACUUUAUUUUAAUUUAGAGCAAUGCUAAUUGCCGCAAUUAAGCGCUGAGAGCUCUGUCACACUGUAAUUUUAAUUGAGUACUAUUUUUGUCUUAGAAAAGUCUCGCUCCUUUUUAGAUUAUAACAUAUUAUACUUCGUUUUCCGAAAGCAGCGCUUGGUUUGUCCGCAUUUACAAGUAGAAGUGGUGGGUGUAAAAUAUCGACGGUAGUGUGACACUCGUAGUUAAAAGAAUUUACUCUAAAUACAAAAAACAAUACAAUAAAUUAGAUAAACUUAACACUAAAGCGUUAGAGAUAAAUGCAAAACAAACAUACAUAUAUAGGAUACCAAGCGCAAAACAGGAGCAGGCAGAAACUAGCGAAAAUCGAAAAUGAGAAGCGUUUGUUUGCAAAGCACACAGACUAAGGAAACAAAAAUAUUCUAAAGUGAAUUUUCCACUAAUUUGUAAAAAAGAAAAACAACAGAAACAAAACAUAAGCUAAAGUAAAGAACAAAAACAAAAACAAGAUGAAAACAAAAAUACCGUUAGCAAGUGAGAGAGAUAAAGUUAAAGAGUAAAGUUAAAAGUCACUAAUAAACCAACACAAUUUAGAGGUUAAGUCAGUAAUGUUAAAUGUAAUAGCGAAAUGAUAAUUAUGAGAUCGUAACAAAGCAGAAAUAAAUCAAAUAAUAUUAAUUAAUUAUAACAACAACAACAACACUUGAACAAUUGAACAAGCAAAUCCACAUAGUUGUAAGCAGAAUUCAAGUUUAGAAGCAAACAAAUUGGAAUGUUUAAAUGUGAAUUUUUCAAAAAACCAAAAGCAAAAGCAAAAAACCAAGAAAAUUGAAGGCAAAUUGCAUGCAGCGGAGCAACGAACGAAGGCGGCGUGAAAUGUGAGGGGAGUGAGAGCCAAAAAGCGUAGCAAAUUUUUUAAUUUCAUAUUGAAAUUAUAGUUUCUUUCACGACGCUCACAUCGGCCGCGCCCGCAUGCAAUCGAACGAAAACAAUCACAGAUGAAUGGCACACAAAAAUCAAGCAAAAAAGCUACAAAAAACAACAAAAAAUCCACACACACACAUAGAAAAAUUGCGCAAGAAAUGACAAACAACAACAAACCAGUUUCGAUUUACUUUAAACAAAUGCAAAAGCAAAGCAGGCACAUAAAGAACCAAAAACCAAAAGCGCAAAACAUAAGCUGCAAUGAAAUUAAGAAAGCAACAAAAAUAUUAAAUAUUCGAAAAAAUGACUGCCCACAAAAACAAACAAAAAACACGUUAUUAAAUGAAGUAAACCGCAAAAACAAAAAGAACACAAUGUAUUGUAAUUAAUUGACGUUUUGGUCAUGUUUGUAACAAAAGAAACAACAAAACAGAGGUGAAAACGUUAAAAACAAAAUCAAUAAACGCAAAAACACAUUGAUAUUAGUUUAGUAACAACAACAAGUAACGUGUAAUACGCAUAAGCCAUGAAAUAAAAUAAAAUGAAAUGAAAUGUAAUAAAUAAGAAAGGGCUAACCAGAGACCCCAGUGUGCUAAUAGUGGAAUUAAAUUGAUAAAGCAAAAACAAAAAAAAAUAAAAUAAAUUAAUUAAUUAAAAUGGAACAAAGCAAAUAUUGAAGAGGCGCAAAGGCAAAGAAAAACACUUUAAACUGACGUAACGUUUAAGAAUAAAUAAAAUUGCAUGUAAUUUGAAGAAAUUUUAAA